CACGGCGUGGUGCUGCGGCUUGUCCCACUAAUGCGUGAUAGGCGAUCACACGCUCGCUCCCUCACUCUCUCUCUCUCUCUCUCUCUUCGGCUGUUUCUCUUUCUUUCCCUGCGGAUGUGUGUGCGUUAGUGUUCAUGUGAGUCAUGCUGUGGAAUAGAAUAAAUGCGAACCCAAAAGAAACACAAAGAAAACUAAAGCCCAUACGCAUGACCACUAAAAAUAACAAGAACAAGAACAGAACUAGAAGAAGCACCAGCAGAGAGCGAGGGAGUGGGAACAGAAAGAGCUUAAUGAAGAAGCACUGGUUCCGAGUGAGAGAGAGUGAAGAAAAGAGAACAGAAAAGCUAAAGAAAACCGAAAAUCAUAUCAGCAAAAGCUUCUUUUUUUUUUUGAGAGAAAGAGAGCGCUCGAAUCUUGUGAAAAACAGACGAGAGAAAAACACACACAAAAAAAGAUCAGAUCGAGUGGAAGGUGUCUGGAAGUGCA
rnacentral:sRNA from 1 species